UACGGGGGGGGCAAGCGUUGUUCGGAAUUACUGGGCGUAAAGGGCUCGUGGGUGGCCAACUAAGUCGGACGUGAAAUCCCUCAGCUUAACUGGGGAACUGCGUCCGAUACUGGAUGGCUUGAGUUUGGGAGAGGGAUGCGGAAUUCCAGGUGUAGCGGUGAAAUGCGUAGAUAUCGGGAGGAACACCUGAGAUGUAGAUGGCUUACUGGACCGUAACUGACGCUGAGGCACGAAAGCGUGGGGAGCGAACAGG
rnacentral:rRNA from 1 species